rnacentral:rRNA from 1 species
GACGAACGCUGGCGGCGUGCUUAACACAUGCAAGUCGAACGGAAAGGCCCUGCUUUUGUGGGGUGCUCGAGUGGCGAACGGGUGAGUAACACGUGAGUAACCUGCCCUUGACUUUGGGAUAACUUCAGGAAACUGGGGCUAAUACCGGAUAGGAGCUCCUGCUGCAUGGUGGGGGUUGGAAAGUUUCGGCGGUUGGGGAUGGACUCGCGGCUUAUCAGCUUGUUGGUGGGGUAGUGGCUUACCAAGGCUUUGACGGGUAGCCGGCCUGAGAGGGUGACCGGCCACAUUGGGACUGAGAUACGGCCCAGACUCCUACGGGAGGCAGCAGUGGGGAAUAUUGCACAAUGGGCGGAAGCCUGAUGCAGCAACGCCGCGUGCGGGAUGACGGCCUUCGGGUUGUAAACCGCUUUCGCCUGUGACGAAGCGUGAGUGACGGUAAUGGGUAAAGAAGCACCGGCUAACUACGUGCCAGCAGCCGCGGUGAUACGUAGGGUGCGAGCGUUGUCCGGAUUUAUUGGGCGUAAAGGGCUCGUAGGUGGUUGAUCGCGUCGGAAGUGUAAUCUUGGGGCUUAACCCUGAGCGUGCUUUCGAUACGGGUUGACUUGAGGAAGGUAGGGGAGAAUGGAAUUCCUGGUGGAGCGGUGGAAUGCGCAGAUAUCAGGAGGAACACCAGUGGCGAAGGCGGUUCUCUGGGCCUUUCCUGACGCUGAGGAGCGAAAGCGUGGGGAGCGAACAGGCUUAGAUACCCUGGUAGUCCACGCUGUAAACGGUGGGUACUAGGUGUGGGGUCCAUUCCACGGGUUCCGUGCCGUAGCUAACGCUUUAAGUACCCCGCCUGGGGAGUACGGCCGCAAGGCUAAAACUCAAAGGAAUUGACGGGGCCCCGCACAAGCGGCGGAGCAUGCGGAUUAAUUCGAUGCAACGCGUAGAACCUUACCUGGGUUUGACAUGGAUCGGGAGCGCUCAGAGAUGGGUGUGCCUCUUUUGGGGUCGGUUCACAGGUGGUGCAUGGCUGUCGUCCGCUCGUGUCGUGAGAUGUUGGGUUAAGUCCCGCAACGAGCGCAACCCUUGUUCACUGUUGCCAGCACGUUAUGGUGGGGACUCAGUGGAGACCGCCGGGGUCAACUCGGAGGAAGGUGGGGAUGACGUCAAGUCAUCAUGCCCCUUAUGUCCAGGGCUUCACGCAUGCUACAAUGGCUGGUACAGAGAGUGGCGAGCCUGUGAGGGUGAGCGAAUCUCGGAAAGCCGGUCUCAGUUCGGAUUGGGGUCUGCAACUCGACCUCAUGAAGUCGGGGUCGCUAGUAAUCGCAGAUCAGCAACGCUGCGGUGAAUACGUUCCCGGG